GGUAACGGUCAGAUGAAAAUGCCUCCUGUUGCAGCUAAGGACCAGAAGAAGUCUGUUAAGUUUGCGGAAGAUGAUGACGAUGAGUUUAGUGAGGAUGAUUAUGAUGACGAGGACUUCAGUGAGGAUGAUUAUGAUGAUGAUGAGUUCGAUGAUGAUGAAGAUGACGAUGAGGAGAUGGGAGGACAUGGAGGAGGUAAUCACAUGCCUCCUAAUAAGAUGAUGAUGCCUAACAAAUUGCCUCAGAUGGGUGGUGGUGCUGGACCCAAGGGGCCUAAUGAGAUAAUGAUGAUGAUGAAUGGGUUCAAAGGCGGUGCUGGCGGCGGCGGAGGAAAGAAAGGCGGCGGUGGCGGUGGGGGUGGGUUUGAGAUUCCGGUGCAAAUGAAGGGAAUGAGUGAGGGUAAAAAUGGAAAGGAUGGUAAAAAAGGAGCUAAAGGAGGUGACAAGGGUAAGAAAGAAGGGAAAGAGAAUAAAGGAGGUGGGGGCAAAACCGGGAAAACAGAUGCCAAAAGUGGUGGUGGUGGCCUUCUAGGGUUUUUCAAAAAGGGUAACAGUGGGAAAGGAGAUGAGAAGAAGAGCGGAGGGAAGAAAGAUGGGGCUGGGGGUAAUAAAGUCAAAUCACCUGGUGGGGGAGGAGGUGGAGUUCAGCAUUAUGAUAGUGGGCCUAAAAAAGGUGGAGGUGGGUCUAAAGGCGGAUCCCAUGGGGGCCAUGAUAUUGAUGAGCUCAUGAAGCAGCACAGCAAAGGAGGAGGGGGUGGAGGUAACAAGGCCAAUCAUAACCAUGGCGCC
rnacentral:lncRNA from 1 species